GAUUUAAAGCCAUAAACCAGGAGGAAUCAGUUAGCAGGACACAGAGAUCUCAUAGGACCCGUCUGCGCAGAGCUUGGAGAUUUGUCUCUAAGCAGAGUCCGGGAUGGUGGCCCGUCCUGUCCGGCUCACCCAGGAGAAAGUGACGGGUGCCAUGGAGCAGGGGUUACGGCCAGGUCCUCAGCCGGCGUGCGGAGCCCUACCUCAGCAGGCCUUCAAGCUCUGCACGGCGGGCCAGAGAAGCGGGACCCUUCCUCCACCCUGUCACCGGAUUUGUUCUCCCACUCUCUCCUGUCCUGGGCAGAGCUCACCUCUACUCUGCUGAGAACGAGGCCUCCGGGCGGGCUCACUUGCCUCAGUUCCGCUCUUUUGGCUGGAGCCCCCUGCCCUGAGCCUACCUUUCUCCGGGACCUUCUGGCUGGGCGGCGCCCCAGCUCUGGGGCUCUGGUGGCCCAUGGUCCCCAGGUCACCCCCACGCUGGAGAUGGGGAAACUGAGGUUCAAAGAGUUUAAGCAACGUGAUGGAGCC
ensembl:lncRNA